rnacentral:tRNA from 1 species
GAGAGUAUAGCUCAGUGGUAGAGCGCGUGCCUAGCAUACCCAAGGCCCUGGGUUCAAUACCCAGUACCGCCA